rnacentral:misc_RNA from 1 species
AUUCUCUGAUUGCUCAGGGGUAGCUCUCCCUCUCAACGGGCUCCUCUUCCUAUCAGCUGGUGCUGCAUCCCUCGUCUUGGCCUCGCCUGCAGAAGAGGUACUAGAAUUCCUUUUCCCCUUUGAUUCGACCUGGAAAGAAGAAGACAGACUCCGCAUUGAAGGCCACAACCCAUCAGGAGCCCGGCAACCCGACAACCUCCUCGGAGCGCUUUGCGUCUCUGAAACGGCAUCAUGCACCGGCGUGGACGAGCUGGAGGAUGAGGAGGACGGGCUGGAAGGCGCAGACGAUGGCGACGCCGAGGCAGAGAUCCUGGACGGGGUAGUGGGCCGCGAGCCGCCCGAAGACGGCCUCGACGGAGUCGCCUGCCGCCGUUCGGUGGACUGGGAC